UUUUUCUUCAUGUUUCCGCCAAUGACGGCGUUUAAGGGAUAACUGGUGACACGAAAUCGUUCGUCUCUUUGUUCAGUUACAUCGUUCAACGAUUUUAUUCGCGAGGCAAAUUAUUCUUUCGAGUCUGGAAGAUUCAAAUUAGAAUCUGUACAGAUCAGGGCUCAUGCUCAUUGAUGACUUUCUUUUUUUUUUUUCAUUCUUCUCUGGCACCGCGUCGGCGACUACAAUCUGGAACGUGGUGCUCGUCUACGGGAAACCCAGGCCUCAUUGCACCACUGUGGAAACUAGAAACCAGCCGUAAAAACUAACCCAAUAUCGGUGUCUCCGUACCUCUCUCCGUGCCUCUUCCGAGUCCUCUUUGGCCUUGCUUCGAUUCCGGUACCUGGAACCCACGCAUAUCUCUCGGCUCUCUAACUUUCCGGCUAUCGAUGCGUCCGGAAUUAUCAAGGAACUUGAAGACUAUAAAAAAGUUCAAUUUCAUUCUAAAUCAAAAAAUAAAGAGACAAGAUAAGAAACCAGCGAUGCUGGGAAAUUGAACAUCGUCCUAAAAAUUUAAACGGAAAAAAAGAAAAUUUCCACAAGUCACUUUACCUUCGAUUCGAUUUUUCGACGAAUAUCUGUUUACUUCGAAGUGGAUACAAUGGAAAUGUAGAAACACACUGACGACUCGUCGUUUCCUCGUAUCGAUGGCUUCCUGUCGCACGAAUACCGACUGUCUUCCUCUCAUCCAUACGUAUGAGACCAACUGACCAGCUGCUUUUGUCCGCCAUUUACAGCCAAACAUCUAACGAGUUCUGUGCGACACAUCUUACUCGACCAUUCCAAUAACGCUACUCGCUUCAUGGAAUGCAUUGUUUGUCGCGAUUUAGUUGUCGCACUUUAUCACAAAUAUAUUAUAAAAUUGUAUUAAAAAUAUAUUAACAGUAAUUAAAUUUCAUUCUAUGCAUCUUUUUCUAAGCAUCACGAGAUAAAAAAAAUAGAAUAUUUUCUCUAUCGUAUCUAUAUUCGAAUCCUGUUGAUUUUUCAUCGAUUUUUUUUUCUCGGUUCCUUAUACU